rnacentral:tRNA from 1 species
GGGUCGCUAGCUCAGUCGGCAGAGCACCGGCCUUUUAAGCCGAGGGUCGUGGGUUCGAGUCCCACGCGACCCACCA